UUUUUUUUUAAUUAAUUAAAUUUCACCUAAAAAAAGUAACUCCUCUGUGUGAGAAGAUCUACUUCUUGUCUCACCUGCUGGCUCUUGUUUGUGCCCUUUAAAUUUGAGUUGAGAAUGAUAAGGUUAAUUUUGUAUUAUCUAUUCCUAGGUUAUCAGUAGGAUUCUUAUUUGUGAAAAAUAUGCCCUCCCACUUUCUUUCUUCUCUUAUGUUCUUUAUAUUUCUAUGCAAUGCUAUGUGGCCAUUGGCUUAAUCAGUUGGAGUCUCGGAGAAAAAUAAAAACACCUUGCUAAAUUUUGUCGAGCUUUUGCUAUUGCGGAGAUCAACCAUGCAAGAGCUGGCGGAUUACGGGUAGAGCUUGUAAGUAAUAGAGGUUUGAAGCUGGAGAUCCGAAUACUCCAUCAAACAUUGAAACUGUGAUUUAUCGUAAAUCAUAGAUGUUUAACGUCAUUAGAAUUUAUUAUUUUUUGGCUGGAAUUCAAACAAGCAUUUUGUAGUUGAAACUCAU